rnacentral:rRNA from 1 species
UAAUACAUCGGAACAUGUCCUGUAGUGGGGGAUAGCCCGGCGAAAGCCGGAUUAAUACCGCAUACGAUCUACGGAUGAAAGCGGGGGACCUUCGGGCCUCGCGCUAUAGGGUUGGCCGAUGGCUGAUUAGCUAGUUGGUGGGGUAAAGGCCUACCAAGGCGACGAUCAGUAGCUGGUCUGAGAGGACGACCAGCCACACUGGGACUGAGACACGGCCCAGACUCCUACGGGAGGCAGCAGUGGGGAAUUUUGGACAAUGGGCGAAAGCCUGAUCCAGCAAUGCCGCGUGUGUGAAGAAGGCCUUCGGGUUGUAAAGCACUUUUGUCCGGAAAGAAAUCCUUGGUCCUAAUAUGGCCGGGGGAUGACGGUACCGGAAGAAUAAGCACCGGCUAACUACGUGCCAGCAGCCGCGGUAAUACGUAGGGUGCGAGCGUUAAUCGGAAUUACUGGGCGUAAAGCGUGCGCAGGCGGUUUGCUAAGACCGAUGUGAAAUCCCCGGGCUCAACCUGGGAACUGCAUUGGUGACUGGCAGGCUAGAGUAUGGCAGAGGGGGGUAGAAUUCCACGUGUAGCAGUGAAAUGCGUAGAGAUGUGGAGGAAUACCGAUGGCGAAGGCAGCCCCCUGGGCCAAU